CCUACGGGAGGCAGCAGUCGAGAAUCAUUCACAAUGGGGGAAACCCUGAUGGUGCGACGCCGCGUGGGGGAAUGAAGGUCUUCGGAUUGUAAACCCCUGUCAUGUGGGAGCAAAUUAAAAAGAUAGUACCACAAGAGGAAGAGACGGCUAACUCUGUGCCAGCAGCCGCGGUAAUACAGAGGUCUCAAGCGUUGUUCGGAAUCACUGGGCGUAAAGCGUGCGUAGGCUGUUUCGUAAGUCGUGUGUGAAAGGCGCGGGCUCAACCCGCGGACGGCACAUGAUACUGCGAGACUAGAGUAAGGGAGGGGGAACCGGAAUUCUCGGUGUAGCAGUGAAAUGCGUAGAUAUCGAGAGGAACACUCGUGGCGAAGGCGGGUUCCUGGACAUUAACUGACGCUGAGGCACGAAGGCCAGUGGAGCGAAAGGGAUUAGAUACCCUGGUAGUC
rnacentral:rRNA from 1 species